rnacentral:lncRNA from 1 species
UGGAAAAAUAGUCAACGAGAGACAGCAGCUCACUUCAUUAAGCCAAGAUGCUUCAAAUAAGACACGAGGGACUCGGAAACACCGCCCAGUAAAUAUCCCAAGCAGAGAAAAUAUCUCAACACAUGGAUCUACGGGGAGAGAGAGAGAGAGAGAGAGAGAGAGAGAGAGAGAGAGAGAGAGAUGUGAACUAUUGUUGCUGGAAGAAUUCGAGAACAACCCCCAGCUAGGAGCAAAAAAACUCUUAGGAGCUUCUGCAAGAAUACGGAAGCCCAGACAGACCUGAUCCAGAUUGUGCAAAACAGGGUAGAAUGCUUCUUUCCCGAGAUUAAUUCUGAGGCCCAAAUCCGGGGAAAAAAAAUUAGGCAGAGCCUAGAUCAGAACACCUGCAACUCCUCUCUCUCCGUCAAAGUCAACGGGCAUCAGUCUUCCCAAAGAUUUCGUUGAAGCUCACUCUCAAAUAAUACAAUUAUUAAGGAAAAAAAGUUACCUCGGGAUCAUAAAUUACCAGAUUGGGGGAUGUCAAAAGGCCAGGAAUGAAGCUCGGAGAAAAACUGAGUUGACUUUUUCUCCCACGCGAAGCACAAAAGAAGGAAACCGAAUGAGCCAGGAUUCCAGACCACCUAUGCCAAAAGAGGAUACAAGAGAAAGGAGGGGAAAAGAAGAUGAUUUCUCCGACAGAAUUUGAUGAUCUAAGCGAAAAAAAUGAAUUUAAACCAGAAUAAAAUAAACAAUCCAGAGUCACCCAAGGUGAUUACAGGGAUCUACAUCUAAACAAGGCCCGAGGAGUUCGGGCUAGAAAUUUUAGUCAAUCAGGGAAAAUAUUGUUUGAUCUUGUACUAGGAUAGCUUCAUUAAUGUGCUUCUAAUGUUUGUCUCUGAUGGAAACCUUAGGCCAGGAACAAGUGUUCAUACUUGUGCACCAUAACUAGCAGUAUCUUGACGGAUUCUGUGAUCUGGCAUCCAUUAUCCACACUCUCUUCACCCAUUUAAUCGGGCUCACUGGACGAUCAUGUAAAACUUUUUAUCAUAGAGAAUUGUCAAAGCCCGCGCCAGAUGGCAACAAAAUAAAGCAACAGCUGGCAUCCAUGCCAUUUAAGGACCUGGUUCAUAAUGAAAGCCAUCAUUGGAACUAUGAACAGACAAGAAGCCAAUACAUUGGGAUCCGGCAAUGGGCAAUACACAAUACGCACCGACAUGUACAAUGAACUACCUUUCAUCAACCCACAGUUCAAACAGAGAAUCAAUACGGUUUUCAAAAAAAAAUAUUCAGAGAACAAAUCUAAUGAUUGACAACGUCCAAGGCUUUGCACCACCAACUGGAGCCUGGCUCCCAAAAGAAACAAGAACUGCCUUCUUUCAAAACUAGCCGUGUCCGAUGAAAAAUCGCAUGGCCUUUACAAAAAAUUGAUAGGGCAGUAGAGAUUUAGGAGUCAUUCACGCAUCAUCUGCAGCCAGCCUGAACCCAUUCAAUUUCAUAAGAAUACAUUAUUUCUUAGGGUAAGGGCAAGAUCAGGUGCCGCACUAAGACCAGGGGCAUUCCUGGAAUGAGAAAAUUUCAUAAGCAAAGGCGUCUACGAGGGCCGAAUUGGUCAGCAGAAAAUAUGGACUCCUAAAAAAAAAUGUUUAGAACUCUUUCCAAGCAGUCGAAAUCAUAUAAACUGUGAAUGGAGUUCUCGAUCUGUCACAGUGCCAUGCCUCCGAUGUGUUAUCUCCACUUAUAUGUGGAACAGGAACAUUAAUAUAUAAGGGUAAUGGUCACUGCAAAAUGAAACCAGAAAACACCAUUCUGAAUUCGAGAACUCGGUGCAUAGACAGGCAUAUGCAUACAGAUCACUGGCAUGCAUGAGAGACUAGACAGAAUCGAAAAAAACGUUAAAAUAAAAACACAGGUGCCAGCGUAAAAAGAAUUAGGUGUUCCCAGCUGGUUAAGAGAAAUAUCCAGGAGAAAGAUCAAAACAUCGGGCCUGAAGAUUAGUUACCAUUCUUGAUCGUUCUUAGAAUAAAAAAAGUUAAAAUAAAAACGCAGGUGUUUCAGGGAAAAAAAAAAAGAGCCGUUCCCAAAUGGGUGAGAGAAAUAUCCAGAAGAAAAAUCAAAUCCUCGGCCCUGAAGAUCAGGUACCACCUGGAUCGUUCUUAGAAGCUUAAAGAUUAUCAAUAAGAGCAAAAACCUCAACCUGUUCCAUUCGAAUUCCUAAAAAGGACGCCGUAAAAGUACAAACCUGAUGGAGAUGAGAAAGAUGCCUGAUAACUGACACAACAAGAAGCUUGCCAAGGCCUUCUAUCGAGUAGGAUCAUAUCCUUACUUUGGGAGUAGACAUGGUCUAGGGCUAAUCAGCCCUCUCGAGAUGAUCAUUUUUGGUACAUAGAGUCAUGAAAUUCAACCCAAAUUCCCGACACAUUCGCCACACUUGCAUCAGAUUUUUGCAUUCCACUCGGUGCACUCACUCAGCACAUCAAAUAAUUGCCUGGAUGAACGAUUCAAAAUACCGCUGCAGAAUAGUACCAUCUAUGUAGCGCUGCAGAUGGAAAAUAGACAUGCGAAUCCGGAAGCCAACCUAUAAUCGUGAUAAACCUCCCUCAAUUUACAAAAAAUAAAAUAAAAUAAUAGACUGAUAGCGCUGCAGAUGGAAAUAGACAUGCGAAUCCGGAAGCCAACCUAUAACCGUAGUAAACCUCCCUCAAUUUAAAAAAAUAAAAUAAUAUAAUUGGCUGAUAGUCGUCUCUUGUCAGCCUCAGCCUAUAAUCGUAGUAAAUCUCCCUCGAUUUACAAAACAAAAAUAAAAAUAAAUAAAAAUGCAGAAUUCACCUUAUAACCAGAAGGAUCGGUGCAGAUCGCCGUUCCUUCCAGAUCCGACCUACAUCCUGAGAGAAUACCUUGCACAACCACAUCCCCUACCACCCGAACCAAAAUCCCACGAUUUUGGAGCAUCCAAAACCCUAACCAGGUGCCGGAUGAGCCGUGACAGGGAUCGCCGGCAGGCUGAUCUGAGGCGAUCCAACCCCCAAGAACGCAGGGAGAGAAGCCGAGGGAAGAUCCCUCGCCGCCUCUCCGUCCGCUGAGCAAAAGGGCGGGAGACGAAAACCCAAAUCCCGGGGGGGAAGUUCAGGUUCGAGGGAAGGAGAAGGAGAAGAUCGACCGAGCAGGCCGCCGCCGGCUGGUCCGACCCGGGGCGACGGCCGACCGGAAUCCGAACCGCCGCCGAAGCAACCGGGAGCUCCGGUUUUCUCACCGGUCAACGAGGCCAUCUGGGCGGUCGACAACCUACGAGCCGCAAAGCCGGGCAGGACGGGUGGGAAAUCGCCCCCCCUCUCCCUGGGGGCCUGACCGGUUCGCCCGGUCACAACCCUAUUCCCUUCCUUCCCAGCUAUAAUAGGCCGACCCCAAGCCGGACCGCUCCAGAUCGCCCUCUUCUGGGUUCUCUGCGGCUCGCCGCGGGUGCUUCGCGAGCG